UUUUAAGAGCUUACUUCUUGGAUUUCCUUCCUCUAAAAUGUUAGAUGAUGUGCUAGGACCUGCUAGAAUCUGAUUUCCUUUCUCCUUGAACACUCCCGUAGCUUAAAUCAAGUAAAAUCAGUCCACCCAUUUCUUUCUCUCUCUAGAAAAUAUGAAUGUUUUGGGUGGAGAGGAUGAAGUAGGAUGAGUAUGGAGGUUUGUAGGAGUUUGUUCUGUUGUUUGCUUGCUUCAAUCUUGCUCAAGCCAUAUGAAUCUCUCUUCUCUUGCUCCCUCUUCACUCUCUCUGUUUUUGUUUUGCAAUAUGGGAAGGAAGAAGUUUGUCGAGGAGAAUGAAAAUGAACGGAUGGGAGUGAG
rnacentral:lncRNA from 1 species